UUGACCUCGGAUCAGGUAGGGAUACCCGCUGAACUUAAGCAUAUCAAUAAGCGGAGGAAAAGAAACCAACCGGGAUUGCCUCAGUAACGGCGAGUGAAGCGGCAAGAGCUCAAAUUUGAAAGCUGGCUCCUUCGGAGUCCGCAUUGUAAUUUGCAGAGGAUGCUUUGGGUGCGGCCCCCGUCUAAGUGCCCUGGAACGGGCCGUCAGAGAGGGUGAGAAUCCCGUCUUGGGCGGGGUGUCCGUGCCCGUGUAAAGCUCCUUCGACGAGUCGAGUUGUUUGGGAAUGCAGCUCUAAAUGGGUGGUAAAUUUCAUCUAAAGCUAAAUACUGGCCGGAGACCGAUAGCGCACAAGUAGAGUGAUCGAAAGAUGAAAAGCACUUUGAAAAGAGAGUUAAACAGCACGUGAAAUUGUUGAAAGGGAAGCGCUUGCGACCAGACUCGCCCGCGGGGUUCAGCCGGCAUUCGUGCCGGUGUACUUCCCCGUGGGCGGGCCAGCGUCGGUUUGGGCGGCCGGUCAAAGGCCCCUGGAAUGUAGUGCCCUCCGGGGCACCUUAUAGCCAGGGGUGCAAUGCGGCCAGCCUGGACCGAGGAACGCGCUUCGGCACGGACGCUGGCAUA
rnacentral:rRNA from 1 species